UGGGGAAUCUUGCACAAUGGGCGCAAGCCUGAUGCAGCCAUGCCGCGUGAAUGAUGAAGGCCCUAGGGUUGUAAAGCUCUUUCACCCGCGAAGAUGAUGACGGUAGCGGGAGAAGAAGCACCGGCUAACUCCGUGCCAGCAGCCGCGGUAAUACGGAGGGGGCUAGCGUUGUUCGGAAUUACUGGGCGUAAAGGGCGCGUAGGCGGAACAUCAAGUCAGAGGUGAAAGGCCCGGGCUUAACCUGGGAACUGCCUUUGAAACUGGUGUUCUAGAGUCCGGAAGAGGAUGGCGGAAUUCCCAGUGUAGAGGUGAAAUUCGUAGAUAUUGGGAAGAACACCGGUGGCGAAGGCGGCCAUCUGGUCCGGAACUGACGCUGAGGCGCGAAAGCGUGGGGAGCAAACAGGAUUAGAUACCCCCGUAGUCC
rnacentral:rRNA from 1 species